UGCGAAUCCUACGGGAGGCAGCAGUGGGGAAUUUUGGACAAUGGGCGCAAGCCUGAUCCAGCCAUGCCGCGUGUCUGAAGAAGGCCUUCGGGUUGUAAAGGACUUUUGUCAGGGAAGAAAAGGGCGGGGUUAAUACCCCUGUCUGAUGACGGUACCUGAAGAAUAAGCACCGGCUAACUACGUGCCAGCAGCCGCGGUAAUACGUAGGGUGCGAGCGUUAAUCGGAAUUACUGGGCGUAAAGCGGGCGCAGACGGUUACUUAAGCAGGAUGUGAAAUCCCCGGGCUCAACCUGGGAAUUGCGUUCUGAACUGGGUGGCUAGAGUGUGUCAGAGGGGGGUAGAAUUCCACGUGUAGCAGUGAAAUGCGUAGAGAUGUGGAGGAAUACCGAUGGCGAAGGCAGCCCCCUGGGAUGGCACUGACGUUCAUGCCCGAAAGCGUGGGUAGCAAACAGGAUUAGAAACCCCAGUAGUCCUAG
rnacentral:rRNA from 1 species